GACGAACGCUGGCGGCGUGCUUAACACAUGCAAGUCGAACGGAAAGGCCCUGCUUUUGUGGGGUGCUCGAGUGGCGAACGGGUGAGUAACACGUGAGUAACCUGCCCUUGACUUUGGGAUAACUUCAGGAAACUGGGGCUAAUACCGGAUAGGAGCUCCUGCUGCAUGGUGGGGGUUGGAAAGUUUCGGCGGUUGGGGAUGGACUCGCGGCUUAUCAGCUUGUUGGUGGGGUAGUGGCUUACCAAGGCUUUGACGGGUAGCCGGCCUGAGAGGGUGACCGGCGACAUUGGGACUGCGAUACGGCCCAGACUCCUACGGGAGGCAGAAGUGGGGAAUAUUGCACAAUGGGCGGAAGCCUGAUGCAGCAACGCCGCGUGCGGGAUGACGGCCUUCGGGUUGUAAACCGCUUUCGCAUGUGAUGAAGCGUGAGUGACGGUAAUGGGUAAAGAAGCACCGGCUAACUACGUG
rnacentral:rRNA from 1 species